rnacentral:tRNA from 1 species
ACUCCUGUAGCCCAACUGGUAGAGGCGGCUGUUUCAAAAACAGUUCAUGUGCGGGUUCAAAUCCUGUCAGGAGUACCA